GCACCCUUAGCUCAGCUGGAUAGAGCAACAGCCUCCGAAGCUGUAGGCCAGUGGUUCGAAUCCACUAGGGUGCACCA
rnacentral:tRNA from 1 species